rnacentral:rRNA from 1 species
UACGUAGGGUGCGAGCGUUGUCCGGAAUUAUUGGGCGUAAAGGGCUCGUAGGCGGUUUGUCGCGUCGGGAGUGAAAUCCACUGGCUUAACUGGUGGCUUGCUUUCGAUACGGGCAGACUGGAGGUAUGCAGGGGAGAACGGAAUUCCUGGUGUAGCGGUGAAAUGCGCAGAUAUCAGGAGGAACACCCAUAGCGAAGGCAGCUUGCUGGGACGUUACUGACGCUAAGGCGCGAAAGCGUGGGGAGCGAACAGG